GGCCGUAGCGAUAGCUCAGUGGGUAAAGCGCCAGGUGCGAAGACUGGCGAUCAUCCGCGCGGGUUCGAAUCCCGCCUGUGUCA